rnacentral:rRNA from 1 species
AGAUUGAACGCUGGCGGCACGCCUUACACAUGCAAGUCGAACGGUAGAGGAGCAAUCCUCGAGAGUGGCGAACGGGUGAGUAAUAUAUCGGAACGUGCCCAGUCGUGGGGGAUAACGUAGAGAAAUUUACGCUAAUACCGCAUACGAUCUACGGAUGAAAGCGGGGGGCUUCGCAAGAGGCCUCGCGCGACUGGAGCGGCUGAUAUCAGAUUAGGUUGUUGGUGAGGUAAAAGCUCACCAAGCCGACGAUCUGUAGCUGGUUUGAGAGAACGACCAGCCACACUGGGACUGAGACACGGCCCAGACUCCGUACGGGAGGCAGCAGGUGGGGAAUUUUGGACAAGUGGGACGAAAGCCUAGAUCCGAGCAAUGCCGCGUGCAAGGAAGAACGGCCGUUACGGGUUAGUAAACUGUACGUUUUAGGAACGGUAACGUAAACGGUUCUUUUACG